rnacentral:misc_RNA from 1 species
GGAGCCACGCCCGUCCAGCUUUGAACACUCAACCGUGUGUCUGUGGGCGCGCCGGCUGCGCUCGUGUUUGACGUUCGCCAGCGCUCGUUUCUCGUGCACUCUACCACCCCCUGCGUGCCAGGCAGGCGUGCAGUCGGCGAAGAGAGGCCGCCUCUCAGUGUGGACGCGAAGGCGCAACGCACACACGCACGCGAAGAGCCCACGGGGCUCCACGCGCCCGCCUCGCACUUCUUCACUCAGGACGCAGCCGCGUGCUUGGGCGCAUUGUUCAUUUUAGCAGAUACGCUUACGUCGCUCUGUAGGGUCAUCUCGAUCUUUCUCGCUUGCUCUGAGCUCUUUCCGCCGAUGGCGUCGACACUCGAGGCUGAGAUCGCCUUCCUCCUCAGCGUUGCCGCGCAUCUCGGCCAUUCGUCGGAGCACAUUGGCGAGAACGAGGACGACGCCAGUGGUGCUCCCCCUGUGUCGUCCCUCACGACGAGCGAGCGCGAGGUGUUGGCAGAGUUGCUUCUCCUCGAGAAGAAAGAGGGUGAUUACGUUUUCGCAACGCGUGCCGACACCGCCGCUGCGGGUGGGGUGGAGGCCCUGCUAGCUGAGAGUCCCUUAACUGCCAUGUACAGAGGGGAGGCGGUCAGCCCUUAUACGCGCUUCAUCCUUAGCUUCUACAGCAGCACCCUUUAUGCGCAGGUGCCUACGAAGGUGAACACAAUCGCCAUACGUCUGUUUCAACGCUUUCUGUGCGGCUGCCGCGGCGAUGCCCUUCAACAGGUGCACCACGGCUUCGGCAGGAGGUCGAUGGAGGUGGUCCUGCGCGAGUGUCUAAACCUAGCCGGUAAUCUCUCGUCCACUCUGCAAAUUGCGGCGCCGUCGGAGAUGACGGGACUGGUGAUCGCGGAGCUCAACUACGAUGUGCAGGAGGUGUCGCCACUCGACUAUCUUGACGUGAUCUUGCCACACAUUUCGUAUCUUUCUCAAAUGUGCCAGCAGGCUUCCCUGCUGCUGCUGGCGCACGAGGAGAUGGUGCGACAGCCGUCUUCCCUUGUCGCAUUGUUCACUAUUGUCUUCACCAUCCGCAACAUGGGGGCGGGCGAUGACGCGGUUGCACUUUUGCUGUCCAGCUGGCCAGAGUGCAGACAAGCGGCGUUUUACCGCAUGAAUGCUUUCUUGAACUGCUUCACGUAGUGCACCGCUGAUGCACUCGCCGCGACGGCGGGCAAGCCAGCGGCGUGAGAGAAAGCACGCGCCAAAGUAACAAGAAAGACUUGCGGCAGUGCCGCGACGACUGGGUGAGUCCACACGUGUGUGCGAGUGGGCGUAUGCGCCGCAUCACUCCUCCCGCUGUCGAGGGAUGCCGGUCAAAACACCUAUACGAGUACGACGAGAGUAGACGCAACAACAAAAGGGAACCAUUGAUUUGGAGACGAUUUGAGAUGUCUCGCUUUUCUUUGCCGUGUCGUACCGGGUUUCCGCUACUUUCCAC